AUGGAGGCCCGGGCGGGCUUCCAGUCUGCGGCUGAGCGGCGGCACCGGAGCCUCAGGAGGGGCUGCCCUGGGUCCGGGCGGGACUCCGGGGCCUCCCAUGCGAACGGGCCCGGCGCGGGUUCAAGGGCUGUACCGCUCCCGAUGCCCGGAGUGGCCCAUCCGAGACCAGGUAUGCUGCCAGGCAGCCAAAUGACACCUCCGGGACCCUCCAUGAGACCCCCUGGCUAUCGGGGGAGCCCUUCAGUCUGACCUGGCCUGGCCCAUUCAGGGAUGGCCCAGUCAGGGAUGGACCAGUCCCGCAAGAGACCUGCACCUCAGCAGGUCCAGCAGGUCCAGCAGCAGGCGGUCCAAAAUCAAAACCACAAUGCAAAGAAAAAGAAGAUGGCUGACCAAAUUCUUCCCUCAAAGGAUUCGUGACCUGGUACCAGAAGCCCAGGCCUAUACGGAUCUCUUGGCUUUUGAAAGGAAGCUGGACCAGACUCUCGUGAGGAAACGGCUAGAUAUCCAGGAGGCCUUGAAACGUCCCAUCAAGCAAAAACGGAAGCUGCGAAUUUUUAUUUCUAACACUUUCAAUUAGGCUAAAUCAGAUGCCAAGGAUGGGGAGGGGACCAUGGCUUCCAGGAGGUUCGGGUAGAAGGACGGAGCCUGGAGGACUGGCACAGGCCCGCCCCUGCCCAGGAAAUGGAGGGCUUCCAGGUGAAGCGGCCAGGAGACGGGCAUGUACGGUGUACUGUCCCCCUGCUGCUGGACCUCCAGCCUCCCCAGUUUAAACUAGACCUUCGCCUGGCUCGGCUCCUGGGCAUCCACACCCGGACCUGUCCAGUGAUCAUCCAAGCACUGCGGCAAUAUAUUAAGACACAUAAGCUCCAGGACCCUCACGAGCGGGAGUUUGUCAUCUGUGACAAGUAUCUCCAGCAGAUUUUUGACUCUCAACAUACGAAGUUUACAGAGAUCCCUCAACGGCUCCAUGCCUUGCUUAUGCUACCAGAGCCCAUCAUCAUUAAUCCUGUCAUCAGUGUUGACCCAAAUGAUCAGAAAAAGUCCGCUGGUUAUGACAUCGAUGUGGAAGUGGAUGAUACUUUGAAGACCCAGAUGAAUUCUUUCCUGCUGUCUACUACCAGCCAGCAGGAGAUGCUACUCUAGACAACAAGAUCCAUGAGACAAUAGAAACUAUCAGUUAGCUGAAGACCCAGCGGGAGUUCAUGCUGAGCUUCGCCAGAGACCCUCAGGGUUUCAUCAAUGAUUGGCUACAGUCCCAGUGCCGGGACCUCAAGACCAUGACCGAUGUGGUGGGUAACCCAGAGGAAGCGCGCCGAGCCGAGUUUUACUUCCAGCCUUGGGCUCAGGAGGCUGAGUGCCGGUACGUCUACUCCAAGGUGCAGCAGAGAUGACAAGAAUUAGGGCAAGGCUUGGGAAUCCAAAAUACAUAGGGCCUCUCCCACAGCCCUGAUUUGGCUGCACCGAUUCAUAUUUGGGCCCUGUGCUGCCUGCCUCAUAGCACCUGCCUUGGUCUUGCCUGGGGCCUUCCAGGGGAUGCUGUUGGUUCAAGGACAACACCAGAAUGAAGAGGGUCUCUCAUUUCUGUCUCACAAGACACCUGUCACCCUCUUCUCCCACCCCAUCCCUUCCUGUCCCCCAGUUUUGCCCCACAAAGUUCCCAUGUGCCUCUACCCUCCCCUGGUCUACAUAGGACCUCUAGAUAGUAUUGGAGAGAGAACCUGUAGUGGUAAUCAGUGCAUUGAAUGGAUUGGGCCUAAGGCCAGGUGGUCUUCAAGGGGACCGGCUACACUGAUCCUGCCCUUCAGAGACCCAGGAGUUGGGAGCUGUAGCCCCUUCUCUGAGACUCAGGCCUGGGGGCACUCCAUAAGCUAGUUGAUCUUGGCUCUCCAGAUAACGAAUCCAAUUUCCUUCCUUCCCUCCACAGGUUUGGCGCACACGCUCCCUUUACUUGCUGCCCUCUAGCACUAAAGGAACCCUGGUUCUUGGGCCCCACUGAGCCCCAGGUCAGUCCGCAGCCCUCUGGAUUGGCCUGCUGUCUCAGGGCUUCUCUUACUCCCUUGUAGGGGGUCCACAUCAGUAUUGGAGUUUGUCAGCUAGUGCUCCCUCCCAGCACACUCCCUGCAGCUGCUCUCUUUAGGAUCCCCUGCUCUCGAGCUGUCCUAACACAGGGCAUUUGGGUGGGGGAAUCUUGCCUUUCUCUGUCAGAGCCCCAGGGAUCUAACCUGGGGUAUCGUCAUUGCCAGCAGAGGCGGUUCCUUCCUGCGGUUGCUUGGACGUGUGACUCAUUUAUUCACUCCACCCUGCCUCCCCUAUCCCUUUGUGGAGAAACAGGCCUAAAAUCAAAUGGGUAAAAGCCCUGGGCCAUCCCUGUCUUCCUGUCCCUUGUCUGCCCAGUUGACACCCGCUGGUGACUUCUAGGGCACUGAGGAGUGAAAGCGCCUAGGGCUGGCGAAUAGCUCUGAGUUGGGUCUGUGACUCUUCCCUCUCCCUGCCUCACAGGAUUAUGACUCCCCAGCCCCUGCCCUCAAAGCUUCAGACCCCUCAGGUAGCCCCAGGACCUUGUGAUCUUGGCCCCUUGGAACUGAGAUGGUUUUGCAUCUUUCCAGGAGAGCCUCAGAUUCUUCUUCCAAGUUGUAUCACCCCAAGUUAGCAUGUCCCAGGCUCACAGAUUCAACAUAGCAGGGUGGGAGACAGCUGGGUACAGAGGGGGAAUUCCUUUCAGCCUGGGCUCUAAACCCACAGAACUGACAAAGCCCCUGCUUCCCCACCCCCUCCUCAGGCUCCUGUGAGCACAUCCUCCAGCCCCAUAUCCCUGCCUCUUCCACACCAGGGACAGAAUUUUCUCCCUGUCUUCCCCUUCUUCCCAUUAUCCCAUCCCUCCCUUAAAAGGUUCUCCCCACAGACACUGGACAGCCUCUCUCCUUGGGGCUGGAACCAUGAGAAGGAAGUUCAGCAUUCCUACACAGUGUCCCUGUUGAAGAUAACUUUUUAUUAACUGAAUUAUUAUGUUUUUUUCAUGGACCAAAAUUUUUUUUGUACUGUCCCUUUACUGAUGUCACCCAGUUUUAAUAAAAGAAU